UGGACAGAAAGACCCUAUGAAGCUUGACUGUAGCUUGGAAUUGGGUUCGGGCUCUUCUUGCGCAGCCUAGGUGGGAGGCGUUGAAAGUUUUCUUUCGGGAAAACUAGAGCCAACAGUGAGAGACCACUCUGGAGGAGCUAGAAUUCUAAUGGCGUUCCUUGAAGCAGGACGCUUGACAUUUUCAGGUGGGCAGUUUGACUGGGGCGGUCACCUCCUAAAAGGUAACGGAGGUGUGCAAAGGUUCCCUCAGGCUGGACGGAAAUCAGCCGUAGAGUGUAAAGGCAGAAGGGAGCUUGACUGCAAGACCUACAAGUCGAGCAGGGGCGAAAGCCGGCCUUAGUGAUCCGACGGUUCCAUGUGGAAGGGCCGUCGCUCAACGGAUAAAAGUUACUCUAGGGAUAACAGGCUGA
rnacentral:misc_RNA from 1 species